UUCGGGUGAAUCAUUUGUGACUGAGCGGCGGACGGGUGAGUAACGCGUGAGUAACCUGCCUCAUACAGGGGAAUAACAGUUAGAAAUGACUGCUAAUGCCGCAUAAGCGCACAGGGCCGCAUGGCCCGGUGUGAAAAACUCCGGUGGUAUGAGAUGGACUCGCGUCUGAUUAGCUAGUUGGCAGGGUAACGGCCUACCAAGGCGACGAUCAGUAGCCGGCCUGAGAGGGUGAACGGCCACAUUGGGACUGAGACACGGCCCAAACUCC
rnacentral:rRNA from 1 species